UACGGGGGGGGCAAGCGUUGUUCGGAAUUACUGGGCGUAAAGGGCUCGUAGGCGGCCAACUAAGUCAGACGUGAAAUCCCUCGGCUCAACCGGGGAACUGCGUCUGAUACUGGAUGGCUUGAAUCCGGGAGAGGGAUGCGGAAUUCCAGGUGUAGCGGUGAAAUGCGUAGAUAUCUGGAGGAACACCGGUGGCGAAGGCGGCAUCCUGGACCAAUAUUGACGCUGAGGAGCGAAAGCUAGGGGAGCAAACGGG
rnacentral:rRNA from 1 species